ACUCCUACGGGAGGCAGCAGUAGGGAAUCUUCCACAAUGGGCGCAAGCCUGAUGGAGCAACACCGCGUGAGUGAAGAAGGGUUUCGGCUCGUAAAGCUCUGUCGUUAAAGAAGAACACGUAUGAGAGUAACUGUUCAUACGUUGACGGUAUUUAACCAGAAAGUCACGGCUAACUACGUGCCAGCAGCCGCGGUAAUACGUAGGUGGCAAGCGUUAUCCGGAUUUAUUGGGCGUAAAGAGAGUGCAGGCGGUUUUCUAAGUCUGAUGUGAAAGCCUUCGGCUUAACCGGAGAAGUGCAUCGGAAACUGGAUAACUUGAGUGCAGAAGAGGGUAGUGGAACUCCAUGUGUAGCGGUGGAAUGCGUAGAUAUAUGGAAGAACACCAGUGGCGAAGGCGGCUACCUGGUCUGCAACUGACGCUGAGACUCGAAAGCAUGGGUAGCGAACAGGAUUAGAUACCCUGGUAGGAUAGCG
rnacentral:rRNA from 1 species